rnacentral:rRNA from 1 species
UACGUAGGGUGCGAGCGUUAAUCGGAAUUACUGGGCGUAAAGCGUGCGCAGGCGGUUUUGUAAGCCAGAUGUGAAAAUCCCCCGGGCUUAACCUGGGAAUGGCAUUUGGGACUGCAAGGCUCGAGUGCGGCAGAGGAGACUGGAAUUCCUGGUGUAGCAGUGAAAUGCGUAGAUAUCAGGAGGAACACCGGUGGCGAAGGCGGAUCUCUGGGCCAUUACUGACGCUGAGGAGCGAAAAGCGUGGGGGAGCGAACAGG